GCCCGGCCGAGUCCAGCCGAGUCCAGCCGAGCCCGCCCGAGCCCGGCCGGGAAUAGCCGAGCCGGGCCGAGCCCAGCCGAGUCCGGCCGAGAAUAGCCGAGUCGGGCUCGGGAAGGAGACCUGGGGCGGGGGGCGGGGAGGAGGGCGUCCAUCCAGCUCCGCGGCUGCAGCAAAGGGCAGAGCAUGGACAUAGACGAUCAUGGACAGCAACCGCAGAGGGAGAACAUCUGCCAAGCACAAAUAUGUUCCAUCAAGCCCAUUUAAAGGACACUUGAGCACAAAAAGUAAUGCUUUUUGCACUGACUCCUCCUCUCUCAGACUAAGUACCCUGUACCUGAUCAAGAAUCACAUGGCUAUUCACUAUAAUAAAAUCCUUUCAGCCAAAGCUGCUAUAGACUGCUCAGUGCCAAAUAGUAUGCUUACCAGCAUCAAAUAUGUGGACCAGCAGAGAAGAGAGAAACUCAAGAAGGAGCUAGCUAACUUCAGUUCUUAUUCACGUUGUGCUAAAUCUUCCUCACUGCCCAGUUCCAGAAGUGGUUCCAGGACACAUUCAGCCAUAAUUCGUAAGACGUCACUGGAAUCACAAGACAAUGAUAAGCGGGUCCCCCAAGCAGAAAAUGAAUUUUCAUAUUCAGCAAGAUCAGACUCUUCUUCCGAGAAACUUUACUUGGGUCCAUCGCAUGCUGAUAAAGUUGUCAGAGGUCAUUCUCGGAAGAUCUGUAGUUCCUCCAUCUCAGAUGAUCCAGCUUCAAACAGUGGUGAUCUCCUAGAUAGACAUUCUGAAUAUUUUACUGAGCGACAACUGCCAUUCACUCCACGCACUUUGAAAUCAGAAGCUAAAUCUUUCUUGGCCCAGUACCGCUAUUACACCCCUGCUCGGAGAAAAAUGAAGGACUCAGUUGGGCAACAGGCGGAAGCAGAAACCCAAACUGAAUUAAGCAGUUUUAAUUCUGGGAUUGAGACACCUGAGAAUGUCCCACAGGCAAAAGUGAAGCAGCCUAGGGCUUCCAGUUAUACCACAUGUGGCAACAUAGAAAAAAGAGCUUCCCAGGCAUCAAGGAACAGCUUAACCUGGGACCAAAUUAAAGAUGAUGCUUCUCAGAACUCCUUUUCAAGGGCAACAUCUCCAUCUAACACCCAGUCUUCUACAGUGAGAAAAAUCCAGUCUGAAGAAGAACUCCUGUAUCUGAAUUUUAUUCAAGAAAUAACAGAUGAAAUUUUGAAACUUGGAUUAUUUUCCAACAGAGUUUUGGAUCGACUGUUUGAGGAUCAUAUAUCGCAAAAUAGACAUCGUUUGGAGGAGGCUAAAAUGCGCCAUCUACUGCGUAUCUUAAAGGUGGAUUUGGGCUGUAAUACAGAAGAAAAAUCUGAAAGAUUAAAUGCCAAUUUUGACAACUUUGAUUUGUUUGAUUUCAAAAACUUUUCAACUUCAGAACAAUUAGCAAAUGAAGAUGAAAGAGUAAUGCCCCGUCCGGAAAGCCAAGAGUUCCAACAAGCUCUGGAUUUGUUAUCUGUGGAACAGGAGGAAAUGGACUCUUUCCUGUCCAUUUGUAGCAAAAAGUCUUCCCGAGAAGAUACAAGUGGGAGAGUAAAUGCUGGAACAGAUUUUGAGCCAUCAGUAGACUCUGAUGAAGAACAGGAUGUUUCACACACUUUUGGACCAAUAUCCUCAAUAAACUCAAAUCAGAGUGACUUUGAAAAUAUCGAUGCUUCAGGUGAACUAAGUGAACUUGGCAAACUUGAUAAAAGCUUUACUGAACGCCUUCAGCUCUCCAGUGGAGAAGAUGAUUGUCAUGAAAAAGAAGAACAGGCUCCAAAAUUCUUUGAAAAAGGCAUUGAAGAUUAUUCUCAGGAUCUUUGAUGAAGAGAGGGCAGCAGACAGGGGAGUCUGAAGGACAUGAGGGGAGCAGACGAGCAGUGGAAGACGUGCCUGUGAUUGGAGCCACAUCAGUAGUUAUGUGGAAUUGUCUGCAGAUCUGGGGCUGCAGAAGAAAGAAGGUGCUUACAACAGCCAGGGUGUCCAUCUCAGUUUUAACGUGGGAGAUUGAUAACAGUAGCAUUUUCACCAGUUCAAAAUUUUAAGAAGCCUUGCAAAACUGAGAAAAGUCUUGAAGCUCUAAUGCAAAGAAGGACUUGUUGUGAGACAUAUUAGCAAUGUCAUGCCACCUAAGUAACAAUGGAUAGAGAAUGACACAGACAAAACAAAGGAGAAAAAGAAUGACGACUAAAGAAGAAAAAAUGCCACUAGUCCAGUCUACAGAAUUUGAUCAAUGUUUAACGACCUUCAGAGAGGAAAAAUAAACAGUUCAGUAGUACUGCUACGUGCUGGCAGUCAGUACUCAGA